UUAGUGGCGGACGGGUGAGGUAACGCGUGGAUAACCUGCCGUAUACCGGGGGAUAACACUUAGAAAUAGGUGCUAAUACCGCAUAAGCGCACGGCUCCGCAUGGGGCAGUGUGAAAAACUCCGGUGGUAUACGAUGGAUCCGCGUCUGAUUAGCUAGUUGGCGGGGUAACGGCCCACCAAGGCAGCGAUCAGUAGCCGGCCUGAGAGGGUGGACGGCCACAUUGGGACUGAGACACGGCCCAAACUCCUACGGAAGGCAGCAG
rnacentral:rRNA from 1 species